UACGUAGGGGGCAAGCGUUGUCCGGAAUCAUUGGGCGUAAAGAGCGCGUAGGCGGCCCUGUAAGUCCGCUGUGAAAGUCAAGGGCUCAACCCUUGAAUGCCGGUGGAUACUGCAGGGCUAGAGUCCGGAAGAGGCGAGUGGAAUUCCUGGUGUAGCGGUGAAAUGCGCAGAUAUCAGGAGGAACACCAAUAGCGAAGGCAGCUCCGCUGGGACGG
rnacentral:rRNA from 1 species